rnacentral:lncRNA from 1 species
CUGCAGGAGAUUUCUUUGAAGUCCAUGGUCCGAGAUCUGAGAAGAGAAGUUCGUCACCUAACGAAGAAAUCAAAAAAGAUGGACGACAAACUUCACAAGCUGAGAAAGAGUCAUUCAGAAGCCACCAUGGAGGUUACUCGCCUUCAGAACCUCCAUAAAAAGGGCUUCAUGGACUACACCCGGAAGAAGGCCAACUUCGUGAAGG